rnacentral:rRNA from 1 species
CAGCUCUUGACAUGUCAGGUCGGUUUCCAGAGAUGGAUUCCUCCCAGCAAUGGGCCUGAACACAGGUGCUGCAUGGCUGUCGUCAGCUCGUGUCGUGAGAUGUUGGGUUAAGUCCCGCAACGAGCGCAACCCUCGCCCUUAGUUGCCAGCAUUCAGUUGGGCACUCUAAGGGGACUGCCGGUGAUAAGCCGAGAGGAAGGUGGGGAUGACGUCAAGACCUCAUGGCCCUUACGGGCUGGGCUACACACGUGCUACAAUGGUGGUGACAGUGGGCAGCGAGCACGCGGGUGUGAGCUAAUCUCCAAAAGCCAUCUCAGUUCGGAUUGCACUCUGCAACUCGAGUGCAUGAAGUUGGAAUCGCUAGUAAUCGCGGAUCAGCAUGCCGCGGUGAAUACGUUCCC